UUAAUACUACUCCCUCCAUACUUGUCGAAAUAGAGUAUGUGCUUUCUUGUCAUGUGUUGGGAGGACGCGAAUGACCUAAGCGGUUAUGUUAAGCUAUUUUCGAAUACGAGUUAUCUGAGUUGCAAGUAGUAAUCUUGAAUGAGAUUAAUUCAUCAUGCUUAGUUCAUGCUUGUUCGUGGUUUCUUUUGUAGCGUCAAUAUUUACGUAACACUUGUUGGAGUCGU
rnacentral:lncRNA from 1 species